rnacentral:rRNA from 1 species
GACGUAGGGGGCCAGCGUUGUUCGGAAUUACUGGGUGUAAAGGGUUCGUAGGCGGUGUGGCAAGUUGGGAGUGAAAUCUCUGGGCUCAACCCAGAGGCUGCUUCCAAAACUGCUGUGCUUGAGUGUGGGAGAGGCACGUGGAAUUGCAGGUGUAGCGGUGAAAUGCGUAGAUAUCGGAAGGAACAUCAGUGGCGAAAGCGGCUUCCUGGACUAAUACUGACACUUAGGUGCGAAAGCGUGGGGAGCAAACAGG